rnacentral:rRNA from 1 species
ACAGGGAUUACCUCAGUAACGGCGAGUGAAGCGGUAAAAGCUCAAAUUUGAAAUCUGGCUCUUUCAGAGUCCGAGUUGUAAUUUGUAGAAGAUGCUUCGGGUGUGGUUCCGGUCUAAGUUCCUUGGAACAGGACGUCAUAGAGGGUGAGAAUCCCGUAUGUGACUGGAUACCUAUGCUCAUGUGAAGCUCUUUCGACGAGUCGAGUUGUUUGGGAAUGCAGCUCAAAAUGGGUGGUAUAUUUCAUCUAAAGCUAAAUAUUGGCCAGAGACCGAUAGCGCACAAGUAGAGUGAUCGAAAGAUGAAAAGCACUUUGGAAAGAGAGUUAAACAGUACGUGAAAUUGUUGAAAGGGAAGCGCUUGCAAUCAGACUUGCACUUGGUGUUCAUCAGGGUUUCGUGCCCUGUGUACUUCAUCAAGUUCAGGCCAGCAUCAGUUUGAGUGGUUAGAUAAAGGCUUGGAGAAUGUGGCCCUCUUCGGGGGGUGUUAUAGCUCCAGGUGCAAUGUAGCCUACUUGGACUGAGGACCGCGCUUCGGCUAGGAUGCUGGCGUAAUGGUUGUAAGCGACCCGUCUUGAAACACGGACCAAGGAGUGUACCUAAUAUGCGAGUGUUUGGGUGUUAAACCCAUACGCGUAAUGAAAGUGAACGCUGGUGAGAACCCUUAAGGGUGCAUCAUCGACCGAUCUUGAUGUCUUCGGAUGGAUUUGAGUAAGAGCAUAUUGGGUGCGACCCGAAAGAUGAUGAUCUAUACGUGAAUAGGGUGAAGCCAGAGGAAACUCUGGUGGAGGCUCGCAGCGGUUCUGACGUGCAAAUCGAUCGUCAAAUUUGCGUAUAGGGGCGAAAGACU